AUCAACAGUCAGUCAUUUACUGUGGAGAAGAUAAUGCUUGGAUUGGAAGAACCUGUGAAUAUACUGAAUGUUCAAAUUUGCUGUCGAUAACAAAUGGAAAAGUUAAAUUUAUUAAUCGAGUGCCAAAUAGAAUUGCCUCUUACAAAUGCAAUGAGGGAUACAGAGAAGUGGGUCAAUCAUUCUCUAUUUGUCUACAGAAUGGUUCUUGGAGUUAUACAAAUUUUUAUUGUCAUGGUAAGUAUGAUUAUAAUUUGUAUUUAUUACUAUUACUCAGUAUCUAAUAAGUUCAUUUUGCAGAAGUACCAAAUAUAGCCUCUAAUUUCAUUGCUAUAUGUUUAACCAUAGUGACAUCAAUUUGUUUGUUAAUAAUUUUUAUUGGAGUGUCCCAUAAAUUUAAAAAAUUAAAAAGCAAACAUGCAGCAUCAUUAAUGGAAGAACAUUAUUAUUUCAAAUAUGGACUCUCACCGGCUCCCAAUACAGAGCCAAUUGACACCACACGCAAUUCAGCAAUUUAUGAAGAAAUUGCAGAAAAUAUAAUAGAAAUGCCUGAUUCCAUUCCAGAAAAUAACAAGAAUGUAUUGGAUAAAGAGGAAAUGUCAAACAAAACUGAAAAUAUUUACAUGGAACCUACAGAUGAAUAUAAUAAGCAAACACACACAACUUGCAGAACAUAAGCAAGCAUAAUGUAUUGAAGAAUAUUUUAUAUUAAACAUAUCAAAAUGAUGUGAUAGUUGUAAAUAUUUUAAAGUACAAAAAAUUAUAUAUAAUUUUAUGUGAAUUGUUGCAAUUUUACUCAUAGAUUUACCAAGUUUUAAUGUAGUUUUGUAGUUAAGUUAUAAAAAUUCUGAAAUAUUUGCAUCACUAGUUUCAUAUUUAUAUUUUGUGCUCUGUUAUUAACAAAGUAAACUUGUUCUGUUUCAAUUGGAAGCAGUUCCUUGAUGUUCUGGUAGACUUAAGAUGUUGUUUAUCUAGUCAUGUAAUUAUUUGUGUAUUAUAACAAUUUAUCUCAUUGAAACACUUUAUGAAUUAGUAUUUUUUUUAAUGUAAGAAAUUUUAUUGAAAUAAAUAUUGAAUCAUUUAUUAUAUUUGGAUAAUUUGAUUUAUAUCUAUACACUAAACAUUAAAAUGUUCAGAGAUACUUGAAUUCUUUUAGGUAAAUAUGCAUAAUUUAGUUCAGUUAUUGACAAACCAAAGUUACCAGUUUUAUUAAUAAAAUAGGAAAUUCAUGUUCAAAAUGUUCUCAAAAUUACUUUACAACUUAAAUAUAUUAUUUAAAAUCUAUUGAAAAUUAUGCACAGUAAUACAUCUCUCUCAAUGACUUCCACAUCUGGAAGUAUUGUAUCAUUCAAAGACUGGUACUGACUUUGUAAUUUCAUUAUCUAAAAUCUUUCUUUAAAAUAAACUUUUAGCUUAUA